AACACAAAGCAAAAGCAUAACAGACAGCUCAUCCCUCUCUUCCCACCCAGGGAGCUAGCAAAUCUUCAAGGGACUACUUAAACAGGAAGAUGAUCCAUGUUAGGUUUCCAGUUGAUAAAUCUGUAGAUCAGUGAAUCUCAGCCCAGGGUGAUAAAGUACCCUGGGGUGCUGCAAGAUGCUUUAAAGGAUGUUGCCGGCAGCCUGAAGAGAUAAGCAGGGUGUGGGAACAUAAGCAGAUAAGGGCAGGCUCAGGCUCUCCCUGCCUGGCUGCUUCCCUGUCCCCCCUGCCCAGCCUCUCUGCAAGGAGAGUGUCAAACUCAUCCAUUCCCACCUCAUGGACUGGAGCUGGAGUGUGGGACUCCUUCUGGGUCCAAUCCAGAUGACAAGGAGACUUGUGGGAUGGAUUCUCACCCAUCUCCAGUAUCAGGCAGUGCUAAAUUAAAUUCAGUCCAAGGACUUCAUCUCAGGUCUGCCAGCAACCAGUCAGCAGCCUGGCAAGUGUCUAGCAGAACACUUUACCAAGGCAGUGACAACUGGUAAAAGCUCCGAUUCACACUUUUCUCUAAAAAGGUUCAAUAAAUACUGUUCAAUAUUCUCCCUUACAUUCCUCAGCGCUGUAUAGUAUUGGACAGAUGUGCAAGUUGUGAGUAAUAUGUCUCCAAAGACCAUUCCUAGCUCUUUUAAAUUUCCAUCUGAGACUAUCUUAAGUCAGAUUUGAUGAAAAGGAAAUUUCUUUAAAAAAAAUGCUAAUUACAGCAUCUAGUGUCAUGUCUACAUAGUGCUUAUU